rnacentral:rRNA from 1 species
GACGAACGCUGGCGGCGUGCUUAACACAUGCAAGUCGAACGAUGAAGCCGGAGCUUGCUCCGGUGGAUUAGUGGCGAACGGGUGAGUAACACGUGAGCAAUCUGCCCUUGACUCUGGGAUAACUGCGGGAAACUGUAGCUAAUACCGGAUACGACACCUUGGGGCAUCCCAGGGUGUGGAAAGAAUUUCGGUCAAGGAUGAGCUCGCGGCCUAUCAGCUAGUUGGUGAGGUAAUGGCUCACCAAGGCGACGACGGGUAGCCGGCCUGAGGGGGUGACCGGCCACACUGGAACUGAGACACGGUCCAGACUCCUACGGGAGGCAGCAGUGGGGAAUAUUGCACAAUGGGCGAAAGCCUGAUGCAGCAACGCCGCGUGAGGGAUGAAGGCCUUCGGGUUGUAAACCUCUUUUAGCAGGGAAGAAGCGAAAGUGACGGUACCUGCAGAAAAAGCACCGGCUAACUACGUGCCAGCAGCCGCCGCCG